GUGGGGAAUCUUGCGCAAUGGGCGAAAGCCUGACGCAGCGACGCCGCGUGAGUGAUGAAGGCCCUCGGGUUGUAAAGCUCUGUGGAGAGAGACGAAUAAGGGUUGGCUAAUAUCCAACUCGAUGACGGUAUCUUUUUAGCAAGCACCGGCUAACUCUGUGCCAGCAGCCGCGGUAAGACAGAGGGUGCAAACGUUGUUCGGAAUUACUGGGCGUAAAGCGCGUGUAGGCUGCGAUGCAAGUCGGAUGUGAAAGCCCUGGGCUCAACCUAGGAAGUGCAUUCGAAACUGCGUUGCUUGAGUUCUGGAGAGGAAGGCGGAAUUCUCGGUGUAGAGGUGAAAUUCGUAGAUAUCGAGAGGAACACCGGUGGCGAAGGCGGCCUUCUGGACAGCAACUGACGCUGAGACGCGAAAGCGUGGGGAGCAAACAGGAUUAGAAACCCCAGUAGUCC
rnacentral:rRNA from 1 species